rnacentral:lncRNA from 1 species
UUUUUUUUCUAUUCCCCCAAAUUCUUUCCCUCUUAUUUGAAAAAUAAUUUCCUAACCCCGUUUUCAAAUAAUUUUCCAACUUUUGGUUUUUAAAUGAUUUCAAGUCAUCAAAAUUUUCCUUCCUUAGAAUUGUUAGGUUCCAAAAUCUCAUUUUCAAUAAAAUUUGGUCGUCAUUCUCUUUCUAGCAAGCCACUUUUGAAUUUUUUCUUUGAUUUUCAAAA